rnacentral:rRNA from 1 species
GACGAACGCUGGCGGCGUGCUUAACACAUGCAAGUCGAACGGACUGCUUCUCAGCUUGCUGGGGGGUGGUGAGUGGCGAACGGGUGAGUAACACGUGAGUAACCUGCCCUCUUCUUCGGGAUAACGGUUGGAAACGGCUGCUAAUACCGGGUAUUCACUGGUCCUCGCAUGGGGGUUGGUGGAAAGGUUUUUUUCUGGUGGGGGAUGGGCUCGCGGCUUAUCAGCUUGUUGGUGGGGUGAUGGCUUACCAAGGCUUUGACGGGUAGCCGGCCUGAGAGGGUGACCGGUCACAUUGGGACUGAGAUACGGCCCAGACUCCUACGGGAGGCAGCAGUGGGGAAUUUUGCACAAUGGGCGCAAGCCUGAUGCAGCGACGCCGCGUGAGGGAUGGAGGCCUUCGGGUUGUGAACCUCUUUCGCUCAUGGUCAAGCCGCAGUUUUGAUUGUGGUGAGGGUAGUGGGUAAAGAAGCGCCGGCUAACUACGUG